UACGAAGGGUGCAAGCGUUGCUCGGAAUUAUUGGGCGUAAAGGGUAGGUAGGUGGUCUGAUUUGUCUGAGGUGAAAGCCCGGGGCUUAACCCCGGAAGUGCCUUAGAAACGGUUAGACUAGAGUACUGGAGAGGGUCGCGGAAUUCCUGGUGUAGCGGUGAAAUGCGUAGAGAUCAGGAGGAACAUCAGAGGCGAAGGCGGCGGCCUGGACAGGUACUGACACUCAACUACGAAAGCGUGGGUAGCAAACAGG
rnacentral:rRNA from 1 species